rnacentral:rRNA from 1 species
UACGGGGGGGGCAAGCGUUGUUCGGAAUUACUGGGCGUAAAGGGCUCGUAGGCGGCCAACUAAGUCAGACGUGAAAUCCCUCGGCUUAACCGGGGAACUGCGUCUGAUACUGGAUGGCUUGAGUUUGGGAGAGGGAUGCGGAAUUCCAGGUGUAGCGGUGAAAUGCGCAGAUAUCAGGAGGAACACCGGUGGCGAAGGCGGGUCUCUGGGCCGAUACUGACGCUGAGGAGCGAAAGCGUGGGGAGCAAACAGG